GGUCAAGAGGUGGAGCUGGAUAGCCGACAUGCACGAAGAGUGCCCCGGAGAGCCACUUAUCAGGACGCAGAGGUCUAUAAAGCAAGGAGGAGGCAUUUAGAGUCGGAGCGUGGAGGGUCGAGUCGGCAGGCAGGAGUCGAGGUUUGACAGGAUUAGCGCUGAGCGCUAGCAAGGCGGACCUACUGCUGCGAGGAGCUUGGGCUUGGGCAGGAAGCAGUGCGGCUCGCGGUCCGCAACGCAACAGACGCGGGUGAAUUCAAGGGCACCAGGCCUGCAGACUGGGGGAUGGGAGGACGCGGCAAGCGGAAGCUGACCCAGGUGGGCGCGCAGGCAGCGGGACUGGCAGCCCCUGCUCGGCCCUAGCCGGCAGCGUACCUGGAUGCUGCAGCUCCUUCGCGUCCAACCGAGGCCUCCUCAGGCAGGUAGGGUCUCCAGGCCACUGUCUACGCAACUUCCCAGCACAGCCGAACGCAGCACUCGGAACCAGACACGUGAGGGUAGCGUCCCUGGACAACCCUGAACGCCUCAGCUAUUGGUGCAGAAAGCGACUUUCUCCCUCCCACCUGCCGGGUUUAGCCUCUAGGAUUCGGCUUGCCACGCUAGAAGGGGAACUGCGCAUCAGACGCGGCACAACUCCGCCCGCUAAGGCGGGAGUCCGCGCAGGCCGUCACUCUGGCUGGAGGCCGGCUUUGAACUUCCGGCUUCCGGGCCCGCCAUCCUUACUACGCAUCCUCAGACGCGCCGUGCUCUCGGAGAGGCCCGCUCAAUUCUGGGGGCUGUGGUUUCGCUCCCUCGAGGGAGGGUCUUUGGCGCGCCAAGCUCUGGAACCGGAAGUUUUAGGAUGCUAAAUCAGAGUCAGCCUACGGCGCGGUGACGUCUCCAGUAGCUGGGUAGAUUUUCGGAGCCGGCCUUCUGGAGGUGGACCGCGCGCCCCCUAGAGCCAGGCUGUGCGCCUAGUCCAGGAGUCUUUCUCAGACCAGCACAGCUCUGCUCUGAUCAGCCCAAUCACCCCCCGCUGUCUUUCUGAAAAGGAGCACCUUGAAGCAGAGCCCAUCCUUCUCCUUACACCUCAGCACCCAGAACAGGAUUCAGGGAUCAGAUGGGUUGGCCUUGGAGGAGAGACUCAAACUAGGGGUGAUGGACAGAAGUGGGAUGAGCUUAUUCCUGCUGCCCCAGAGCUCCAACCCCAGAGCAGAGGACAAGGAAGGAGGGGCACAAAGGGAUCCAGGUAAUGUAGUGUGAAGAGCACUAGACUGGAAGGAGUUCAAAGACCGUGAACUAGCCGGGGGACAAUGGGCGUGCCAGACUCUGCAAGCUCUGGACUCUGUCUGAAACGUAAGGGCCCACCUUUCCUGUACGCGCAAAGGCCUCAGCCACUUUCCGGUUCCGCCCUCCAUAGCAGGUAGUGAUCAGGUCAGCAACGCCACAGCUCUCCAAGAAGGUGGCAGAGGACACAGGGCCACUGCAGAAGAGCUUGGCGAAGGCUAUCAUCUCCAUGAGUCCCAGCCGGAUCACUGCCGCCUUGGUGUUGUCGCCAAAGCCCAGGCCAUCACAGAAGCCAGCCCCCACGGCCACUACAUUCUUGAAGGAGUGGAGGUCAUAGGUGAGAAAAGACCCCCUCUUGUGGACCCCAUGUGGAGCCCCCUCAUACUCCUUUCAUCAGCCAUGACACCCACUGCAGAAGAGAGGUAUAGUGUGUGGGCUUUUAGAAGCCUACUUCCACCUCUUGGUUUCCCCCCUUGCUGCACCCGCCUUUCUUAAGCCCUGCCCCAUACUCCCUCCUCGAGGACAUUUUCUGAAAACCACUCUUCUCUCUAGCUGACCUUCCCAUCUAUGACCAUUCCAUUGUAUAGCCCUCAAGUCAACAGCUGUCCAGGAUCCAUAGUUCUGGCCAUUAGUCUGUCUGGGUGUCGUGGAUGUCUUGUCUCCCAUUAGCCUGGGCAUCUCCUUGUGCCCCUAGACCACCUCCUGGAGCCAGAGGGUAGGGAGUCCCACAAGGGGCUAAAGUGGGAAAGGAGCAAGGGUGUCCAUGGUCUGAUGAUGAAUAAUCAGCCGGCCUGAAUGGCCCUGGCCUCACUUCUGCAGCUCCUCCUAUAUGCAUGGGACAUGGUAGGAAAGGGGAACCACUGCUUAAUAGUGAGAGCCUGGAGUACCUGCAGCCUUGCAGAGCUCAGCCAGACCUCCUUUGGGGUCUUCUCCUCACCCCAUAGCUGCCUCUGUGCCCCUCUCACCUUUAAGGCUCCACAGAUCUCUACUGUGUCCACCUCUUGCACCACUGUGAUACGGAAGUUGGGUGUCUGCAUCAGCUCUUUCAGAAGUUGUCCCUGGGCCGGGUCCUUGCAGCCUAAAGUGAGGAGGGGGCAAGGCUUUGAGGGAAGGACUCUUUUUAAAAAAUAUUUAUUUUAUAGAGAUGGGAAUCUCUCUCUGUUGCCCAGGCCAGACUCAAACUCCUGGGCUUAAGCGAUCCUCCCGCCUCAGCCUCUUAAGUAGCUGGGACCACAGGUGUGCCACUGCACCAACUCUGAGGGAGGGCUCAUCACUGCUUCCCUAAGCAGGCCCUGCAGCCCCUUCCCUGGGGGUGUCCCAGCCUCCUUCACCUCUGAUGCUUGUAUUUUCCUUUCUCUGCCUUAUGGGAAGGAGAUGGCCAAGUGGGGUUGGGGCAGUUUGGGGAGGGGAUGCAACUAGAUGCACUGUGUAUGCAGGUGGCAGGGGGCUCUCACCAAUGGUUGUCUCACAGAACUUCUCAUCAGCCACCUCGCUGGCAAUGUUGGCCCCCAUCAGCACACUCAUGGGGAUACCGAGGCACUCCCCAAUCACUUCCGAGAUGAGCUUCAGCCCAAUGGGGCCCUUGUCUACCCCCUGAGCACAGGAUGGAGCUCAGGCCAGGUGCCCUUUGUGCCCGCCUGUGGGCUUCCGCCCAGAAAUUCUGUCCCUUCCAAAUCCAUUGCUCGUCUGUGUCCCUCCCGACAGGUCCUGCCCUGUUGCAACCCAGCUCAAGUUUGUUGUGAGGAGGCCAGACAGCAUGUGACCAACUGUCCUGCCACAUACCCUCAACCAGUCUACCUCUCCAAAGCAACGGGUCCCCUCCACAUCCCUAGGCAACCCCGCCUGACUGCCCCAACAAACUGCCAUUCAGUGACCAGUCACUGCUCCAAACCAGCUACUCUUCACACUUCUCAAACCAGCCCGCUUCUCAUAUCUCCCAGGCAUUCCUUUACACCUCCCAAACUCCCCGAGAGGACCUCCAAACCAAUCUCUUGUCUCCUCCCUUCAGCCUCCCUUCCAGUGACCCCCAGCACCUCACUGCUUUCCUAAGCCUCUCCAGAGCCAACUUCCUCUCUUUUCUCCAGCCAACUCUUGGCCUGCGUCUGCCAUUUUCUGUUCUCCUUGCUUCACCCACCCUGAACCCCACAACAGUGAGCCACACCCUCCCCCAUCCACAUGAAGGUGUCAGUGGCACCUUAAUAAGAGAUAUGCCAGUGGCGUUUGCCUUCAGAUGGCCCUUGAGCUGGUCACAGAUCUUGCCGAUGAACUGAUGGGGCACCACAAAGAUCAGGAUGUCAGCAUCCGCUGCAGCCUGGACCACAUCUGGGACAGCCACCUGUGGGGGUGACCAAGUGCUCACGGGCCUGGAAGACCUCCCCUAGCCCCUGUGGAACCCCAUUCAGGAGAUCUGGGAGCCAAAGAGUGAGGCUGGUAGGGGAGCAGGAAGGCUUGUUUGGGACUGAAUCUAGAAGGACUGAACUUGGAGGAAUAAAGACACUCUACUCUCUUC